CCUACGGGAGGCAGCAGUGAGGAAUAUUGGUCAAUGGGCGCGAGCCUGAACCAGCCAAGUAGCGUGAAGGAUGACUGUCCUAUGGGUUGUAAACCUCUUUUAUAAAGGAAUAAAGUGAGGCACGCGUGCCGUUUCGAGUGUACCUUAUGAAUAAGCAUCGGCUAACUCCGUGCCAGCAGCCGCGGUAAUACGGAGGAUGCGAGCGUUAUCCGGAUUUAUUGGGUUUAAAGGGCGCGUAGAUGGGUUGUUAAGUCAGUGGGGAAAGUUUGCAGCUCAACCGUAAAAGUGCAAUUGAUACUGGCAGUCUUGAGUACAGUUGAGGUAGGCGGAAUGCGUGGUGUAGCGGUGAAAUGCUUAGAUAUCACGCAGAACUCCGAUUGCGAAGGCAGCUUACUAAACUGCCACUGACAUUGAUGCACGAAAGUGUGGGUAUCGAACAGGAUUAGAUACCCCAGUAGUC
rnacentral:rRNA from 1 species